rnacentral:rRNA from 1 species
GGGCCCGCACAAGCGGUGGAGUAUGUGGUUUAAUUCGAUGCAACGCGAAGAACCUUACCAGGGUUUGACAUCCUGCGAAUCUCUUGGAAACGAGAGAGUGCCUUCGGGAGCGCAGUGACAGGUGGUGCAUGGCUGUCGUCAGCUCGUGUCGUGAGAUGUUGGGUUAAGUCCCGCAACGAGCGCAACCCACGUCUUUAGUUGCCAGCAUUUAGUUGGGCACUCUAGAGAGACCGCCGGUGAUAAACCGGAGGAAGGUGUGGAUGACGUCAAGUCAUCAUGCCCCUUACAUCCUGGGCUACACACGUACUACAAUGCUACGGACAAAGAGCAGCAAGUUCGCGAGGACAAGCAAAUCUCAUAAACCGUGGCUCAGUUCAGAUCGUAGGCUGCAACUCGCCUACAUGAAGUUGGAAUCGCUAGUAAUCG